rnacentral:rRNA from 1 species
GAGUUUGAUCCUGGCUCAGAUUGAACGCUGGCGGCAGGCCUAACACAUGCAAGUCGAGCGGCAGCGGGAAAGUAGCUUGCUACUUUUGCCGGCGAGCGGCGGACGGGUGAGUAAUGCCUGGGGAUCUGCCCAGUCGAGGGGGAUAACAGUUGGAAACGACUGCUAAUACCGCAUACGCCCUACGGGGCGCAGCAGA